ensembl:rRNA 5S_rRNA 5S ribosomal RNA
GCUUACGGCCACACCGGCCUGAGUACGCCUGAUCUCGUCCGAUCUCGGAAGCUAAGCAGGGUCGGGCCUGGUAGUACUUGGAUGGGAGACCGCCUGGGAAUACCAGGUGCUGUAAGCU